CAAACUAAUGAGCAGCCUGUUCCCAAAGAUAAGAGCCAUGGGUGUCUUUAGCCUCCGUGUGUCUUGAAGGCUUUAUUUUUAUUUAUGUGUAUUGUGUGCACAAAAGUGCAGUUGCCCAAGGAAGCUAGACGAGAAUGUUGGGUCCUUCUGGAGUUCCAGGAACUUGUGAACAGACAUAGGUGUUGGGACCUGAGCUCUUGUCCUCUGCAAGAGCAGCAAGUGUUCUUACCUACUGAGCCAUCUCGACCAUGCCCAACAUGGUGAGAAGUCUUGUUUUUAGAAAUAACCACACCAUCACUGCUGUUUUAGCUCGGGAGUCCUUGGUUCAGUCUCUGAAGAUGGUGGCCCUUUGGUUUUUAUUGGUCAAGCUAAUGAAUGCACAGUUCAACUUCAUUCUUCAGCUUGAAGCAUCUAGACUGGAACCCAGCCAUAACCCUCUUCCGCUUACACUAGAGCUUGGCUGCCUGGGUCCCAGAGACAAUGACAUGGAAAGGCUCCAGCUUGCCUGUGUGCUCUUCUGUCCUUACAUAUAAAUAGCUUUUAGAAAUGUAGAUUAUUCUUUUGAAACCCAUGGUAACAAUGUGAGGAUGUCUGCAUUUUGAUUUGAAUAGCAAAGGAAUGUUCAAGUCCAAAAUCUAAAAAGCUACUCAUAGUUUUCUAUUGCUUAAUGAAGCAUUGGACUUUUUUUUAAGUGUGUAUUACAUUUAUUUUUGUGUGCUGCUGGGGGCAUGUGCUACUUCACAUGUCUGAAGAUCAAAGGACAACAUUCAGGAGUCAGCCUUCCUACCUGGUGGGGCCCAGAGAUUGAAAUCAGGUCAUCAGACUUGGCACCUUUACCCAUUGGACCAUCUGUCUAGCCUGGGUGACAUUUUUAAAA
rnacentral:lncRNA from 1 species